rnacentral:rRNA from 1 species
UGAGGAAUAUUGCGCAAUGGGCGAAAGCCUGACGCAGCGACGCCGCGUGAAGGAUGAAGGUCUUCGGAUCGUAAACUUCUGUUAAGUGGGAAGAAAGACUCGUUUCUAAUAAAAACGAGGGAUGACAGUACUAUUAGAGAAAGCACCGGCUAACUUCGUGCCAGCAGCCGCGGUAAUACGAAGGGUGCUAGCGUUGUCCGGAAUUAUUGGGCGUAAAGAGCUCGUAGGCGGCUUUGUAAGUUGGGUGUG